CUUCCAUAUUGUGGACAAGGAAAAAUAAUUUAAAUUGCACAGCUAACUUAAAAUUACCAGGUUGUCUUGUUAUGUUUUGUUGUUUUAAAAAGUUUUGUAAAUAAAACCGUUGAAUUAAGACACAUAAGCUGAGCACAGUGGAGCACACCUAAGUUGGGAAGGUCACUUGAGCCCAGGAGUUUCAGGCCAGCCUGGCAAUAUAGCAAGACCCCAAUCUCUCUUUGUUUGUUUGCUUUUUGAAACAGAAUUUCACCAUGUUGUGCAGGCUGGCCUCGAGCUCAUGGCAAUCCUCCUGCCUCAGCCUCUCGAAUGCUGGGAUUACAGGUGUGUGCCACCAUGCCCAUCAUUAGGACCCCAUCUCUUUAAAAACACUUAAAAAUUGGGCCAGGGAUUUAGUUCAGUGGCACCGUGCCUGCCUCGAAAUCGAAAGGUCCUGAGGAAAAAAACACUUAAAAAUUAAGACAGCGUUAUUAUUACCACCAUUUCAAUAAAGAAAGAACCCUUACCAAUAAAAAGUUAUGAUUUAAAAAUUUUAAAAUUUCAUAAAAUGUAACUUCUUGAUUCUCUCUACAAUGAUCUUGUUAUUCUUGCUGCAGAUCAGGUUGCUGAUACUAUACUUCAUGAUGAACCAUGCUGAGUUAGCACAGGCAUUGGAACCAUUGCAUUGCAGGAAAUAAAUGUGAAUCAGUUAUGUGCCUGGGCUCAUCACCUUUAAAUAUCUGCUUCCUUCCACCAGAGUCUCUUUUUCCCACUCACCCUUGGCUGACUCAGUUUUUGUUUUUUGUGUGUUUUUUUUUGGUACCAGGGGAUCAAACUUGGGACCUUGCACUUUCGAGGCAGGUGGCAGAACCACUGAGCUAAAUCCCCGGCCCCUGACUCAGUAUUUUUAAGACUUGGUUAAGGUAUCACAGGCUCAUGGGAAUUUUCUCUUCUCCCCUGCUUCUUGAAGGCUGAAUUUGGAGCACCCAUUUUGUGGUUCCCAAAACAUUCUGUACACACUUCUAUCACCCUAUUUUUAUCACAUACCUUUUUUUUUUGGUACUAGAGAUCGAACUUGGGUCCUGCUUGCGAGGCAGGUGCCAGAACCACUGAGCUAAAUCCCCGGCCCCUAU
rnacentral:lncRNA from 1 species